rnacentral:lncRNA from 1 species
UCCCAACUUCACUAAACUACAUUGAACCUUUCAAGAAAAGAUAAUAAACUUAUGUGACCUAAAAAAUUACAAACUCUAAUUCCUAACAACACACAAACCUCUCAAGGUAUGUGUUCUCAUGUCUUUAAGUUACCCAACUUGAAGACUAUAAUCCUAAUUCAGUUUAUAAUACACUAAAUCUAGGAUUACAUUAACCUUUCAACUCAAUGAAAAACUCCUAAUACAAGAAUGCUAAAACACUUAGCCUAACUCUAUAAUAUGAUAUGUUUUUCAAUGUGUU